ensembl:lncRNA
UGUGUGUGUGUGUGUGGCAAUACAAGUCAGUUUCAGGCAGUAUUUAUAGUUAUGGGCCGAUGCGAGCAAACGACACAAACCCGUACACACAAUCUUAACAAUACAUUAAACUAUCCUCACACAUUGCACACACUCUCCGGCUCUCACACACAUAAAUAUACACACACACACACACACACACACACACACAACAGGACCUAUUGGAACUGACUGGAAGCUAUUAAUUGUUGUGGUGUAGUGCUAAUCAAUAAUGUCCGCAUUGGACGCGUAGAUCUUUGGCAAGGAGUUGCACACUGUGUGUUCGUUUGUGCGCAUGUGUCGUUAUGGUUGUAGAUCGAUGACAAGAGGCCGUGUACAUCCGUGUGUUUGAGGGAUCUUGUGAUCAUUUAUUUAGUGGGUGAUAAAUAUGCAUCGCAUAACUCAUUUGGCUUUUUAAUUACAGUUGCAACUAACACAUUAUUUUGAUUAUGGUCUAACAGGCCGAUUAAUUCACACAUCCGUUGUUCUCACAUUGUAUUUAUCGCAAUUUUCAAAAGCCAACGGCGACGAUUGAGUAGAAUCUGUGUUAAACUAAAAUUAGUUAGUCAAAAAAUAAAGUUGUGCAUUAUUUGUGUGUUGUGUACAUACUGAGAAAGUUGGAACAAAUGAUUAACAGCAUAAUUUUGUUGUUUGUGUGUGUGAUUGUUUUGUUUUGUUUUGUUUGUGUGCAUUGUUGUAGCUGAUACAGGUGUGUGUGCUUGUUUUCAUGUCUAUGUCCCUGCAUUGUUCAGUUAUGAAAUAUUAAGCUACAAAACAUUAAAGGUUUUGUUCUAUUCGCCUACGUGGUUUGCAUUGAACGUUUGAGCAAUAGCAGAUAAGACUAAUAUUUGUGCACAUUUUACUUUCAGAAUUAUCGGCACGAAGCUUCCACUCAUGCAGCUUGACUACUUGGGGGCAUAACAGUAGAAUAAGCUUCAAUUCCAAAAUCACCAUUAGCAACAACCAAUAGGCCAUUGCUCCGUGCCCUGGAAAUCUUCUUCUGACCCUUAAAUAGUCCCUGUUGGGAUGAGCUAGGAAUACAAAUUAAAAAAAAACACACCGAACAAGCAAAGAGACGGAGGGUUCUUUCACCUCUGAGAGUUAUUUGUCUCGGGGAAAAAAACGGACCCUUUCAAUCGUUUUUACCAUUUGCUGAAGCAUUUCACCAAAUAAGACGAACAACGGUAAUGAAUAGCGCCAUUCUUCCCCGAUGCAGAGGCAGGUAAAUAAAAUAUACGGUAAUGCAAUGCCUUACAAGACGCCCUCGGGUCGGGAAAGUGGGCCGGCAGCCAGAGCGUUGCCGCUCCCGGGCCGAUGGAGGGGAGGGAAUGAGAAAUGCUCCACAAUCAUUCAAUGGGUGUAUUCAAAGGUUCCCAUCGGGUGGGUAGUGUUGCCAUGGAGCAGUAUUUACUCUUUCUUUGUCAUCACACAAGCAGACUAUUCUAAAGAUAUAUUUCAGAAGAGGGAGGUCCCUUCUCUCCCAUCAAUGCGCGCGGUUGACUUUGAAAACCCUUUUCACCGCUGUUUAUGGCUCCGUUACGUCAAACAACACAACAACAAAGUGCUUCAACACAACAACACAGGGCGUGAAUAGUUUUGCCAAAACUACUUGAGGUGACCUCAUAUUACUCAACACAAUUGUGAAAAUACUUUUACAGUAUUUUACAAUAAAAAAAUUGUAAUGUGUAGUACAAUUUAUUUGUAAUAAGUUGCAGAUGUCUCAGAAAGCUCAGAAAAGAUGUUCUGAUCCAAAAUCUUUCAUGCCAAUGUUGUGUUAGUUUCCAAACGAAAUAUUUUGACUGCACAAACGUUUUAAUUGCUCAUUGCAACCAAAUGAAAGCCACCUCUUCACAGGCAUGUUGGUGGGACUUGAUCAUUUCCAUAACCAAUGUGCCAAGUUUCUAUGAUGAGCCACCGGUUUUGCUCUGUUAAGUAAAAACAAACAAUUUCACACAGCAUUGGUUCAAAUCCCACUGUUAGUCACUGGGUAGUGCAAACCGACAGGAUUCGCAAUAAAUGCAUGUUGAUAAAAACCAUUAUAAGCCGAAACCAAUCUUCGAGAGGCAAAGUGGACCGUGAUGGGGGGUCUCCAGUGUGGACUGAGUGAUUCAAUGGGCCGUGUUCCCUUUGAAGACACACACGCAAUAAUAAAAGAGAUUCAUGCUCAAAGGGAAAACUGUUUUGUGUUACCACAAGUCAGAGAAAUAAUGUUUCGGGCCGCAUGUUGUCAACGGCGUCGGGCUGUAAAUGAAAUGCUAAAUGGAAGAGGUGGAGUUGGGUUUUCUGGUGGAAUGUGGGUGACAUGAGUAAUAUUUCCAAAUCUGUCUCGCCUCCACAACAGGGAUAAUAAAUUCAAUAUUCCAGCCAGACACACGCGACUGCCAUUAUUCCCUAUAUACCCGCUUGUGUGUGUGUGUGUGUGUUAGUACAUACAGUAUGUGUGUAUUUUUCACUCACUGCUGUCUCUGAUUGGAGGGCUCUCGCUGUAUUUGAACCACAUGUGUUACAUACCUGCUGUUUAAGCUUUGCAUGGAUAAGAUGGGUGUGUCUGUGCGUGAGCGCACAACCCUGCUCCUGCUAUUGAGUGUUAUAGCAAUAAAAUCAUCACACUACCUCAAUGUUUCUGACAUUCCACCAGAACCUCUUUUCAAAGAGAGGAGGCGAGAAAACAUCCUGAGUGAAACAUUCUCCUGUGAUUAAGGGUCCCAAGUCACAGAGAUUUAUUCUGGAUGUGAUGGCAGGUUUAUUUUUCUACUAAUUUCCAAGCAUCAGACGGUGUGAAUCAGACGAUACUCAAGCAACUUGCUUCCAGCUGGGUCGAGAGGUUGGAAAUUCAAGAGUAUAUUCUUGUGUUUAAAGACGAUUUGUUGUGGCUGAACCUCAGAAUUUGAUUGUGGAUGAUAUGAGGAGAACCUCUGAUUUCAUUUCAGCUUGGGCGGAUGCUUUUUGUAAAUUCAAAAUAAACAAUGUGAGAAAGUGUGCAUAGGGAGGCGAAAAAGAUUCUGGCAUAAAAUACUUUAAAUGAUUUGACAAACAGCUAAAGCAACAAAUCUGUGACAAGCUGAUGUGUUAUUUGGGCAUCAGUGGUGGGAAAUGUGUGUAUUGACUAGUGCGCUGUAGCAAAGCGUUGUGCACUUGUGCUGCGAUACGGCCGAGUGCAGACUGCGAUAUUCUCACUGCCGAUGCUGUGACUGGUUGAAAUGAUCCUGAUGCCAAUUAUUGUAAUGCAGCGAAGAGUUUAACAACUGCUGGAAUGGGAUGUGAACGCCGAGUCGGAGAUGCGAUGUCAUCGUAGAUUUCUUCCAGUAGCUGUAAUAUUAUGUGGUGAAUACAUAAUUAGGUGCACUUUAAAAACAAAGAUACAAAUACAAUACAAAUUCAAUCAAUUACAAGAAAAAACGAUUCUCAUUAUACCAGGCAGUGUAGAAAAACAAAACGUGUAUGAAUAUAGUGAGAUCUUAGCUAUAGAUAUCAUGGAAAAUAAAAAUUAAGAAUUAAGCUUAUUACUUGACCCUUCUUCUCUCUUUCUCCAGAUCAAAUGUAUUGCGAGGUGGACUCGUGGUGCUGAAAUUUCUAUUUAUUCCCACAACUCUGCAGUAUUCAUAACAUCCCGCCUACGGCCCCGUCUUAUAAUGAGAGGUUUGGGAGCACUUUCCAUCCUUGACGUUAUUACUGAGGUUUAGUUUCUGUGUCAUUCCUUCGUUCAGAUCGAGGACGAUUACUUAAGACUUUCUUAUUGACGAUCAAUAAGAAGAAAAGUGCAAUGAAUAUGAAUUUGUCCUUCCAUGGUUGCAUGGAUAGCCCAUAACGCAUUGCAACUUCAAAACAAGUUGCAUUUUACUGCGGACAGUUUUGCUUGAUAUGAACCAACCUCACUCUCCUCCUGCCUUCACUGAUUUGUUAAAGUCAAUCUGGGGAAUGCAGGAAAACAUUAACUGCAGUAGGAGACACUGUGUAAAACAAACAAAGUAAAUUACAACACUUAAUCACGAAAUAACUGCUGGAUGCACUGAGCACUGCGGAUUGAUGGGAUCUGAGAGAGAGCCGGGUACCCAAGGGUGGAAUUUUCCUUGAAUUGUAUAGUGGACAUCCACUGACUCACAGCGCCGACGUGGUGACAGUGGGUAACACAAGGGGGCUGCUGUCCCGGCUGUGUGUGUGUGUGUGUGUGUGUGUGUGUGUGUGUGUGUGUGUGUGUGUGUGUGUGUGUGUGUGUGUGUGUGUGUGUGUGUGUGUGUGUGUGUGUGUGUGUGUGUGUGUGUGGGCAGUGGGAGCGCCCGCUGGAAAACUAACUGCAUCUCCUGAAAAAAUCUACAAGCUGUGACAGUCGCAGCAGAAGAUUUGCGGUGGCAAUAUUAACCACCCCGCAUGCGAGACACAAACGCCACCGAGAUGAAUCAUUUCCAUUUUGCGUCACAGAUCUUUCACGUGAACUAGCGAGAAAGUUCGGAAAGUUCCCACCGUGUGUAUAAUCCAU